UGGGGAAUCUUGCGCAAUGGGCGAAAGCCUGACGCAGCAACGCCGCGUGUGUGAUGAAGGCCUUCGGGUUGUAAAGCACUGUCAAGAGGGAAGAAACCGUGUUCGGUGAAUAGCCGGGCAUUGUGACGGUACCUUUGAAGGAAGCACCGGCUAACUCCGUGCCAGCAGCCGCGGCAAUACGGAGGGUGCAAGCGUGGUUCGGAAUUAUUGGGCGUAAAGCGCGUGUAGGUGGACAGGUAAGUCGGGUGUGAAAGCCCGGGGCUCAACCCCGGAACUGCGCUCGAAACUGCUUGUCUUGAGUACGGGAGGGGGAAGUGGAAUUCUUGGUGUAGGGGUGAAAUCCGUAGAUAUCAGGAGGAACACCAACGGCGAAGGCAACUUCCUGGACCGAUACUGACACUGAGACGCGAAAGCGUGGGGAGCAAACA
rnacentral:rRNA from 1 species